CAUUCAUAUGCUAAUUCGGACCAUUCGCACCUCCGCCAGCUCUCCACAUACGUCAUGGUUCGUUUCCGACAAUUUGUGGCACAGACAAACGCGACGUGCGCGGGUUGCAAAUUGUCGGAAAUUGUCGGAAAUUAGGGAGAUUUCCGGGCGUUUACGGGGACGAAAAUCUCACUUUUCAUGCAGUGUAAGAUGCGUUUAAGACAUAAUAAUGCGGGCAGCUUCAAACAUUAGUUGUAAACACGUAACUCCGCUCACAUCUGUAACGCGCAUGCGCAAGUUCUUAGACGCCUGCAGAGCUCCGACCGGACGCAGCACGAGGCGAAGUUACGGCAGCAGAGCGACAUGAACGGGCUGAUAGAACCACGACUACCGGCUCCACUACUCUGUUUCUGCGGGUGGUGGUUGCAUCUGAUGUUACGUCUGAUGAUGGUUGUCCCUGCCCUGGUCCUGCCUUACCCCUGGCUUAGUAAUCCACAAUAUUAGAAUCAUUUCUGUCGUAGGAAUUGGAUGUACUGUACAUCUUUAAAUUGUUCAUAAUCUACACACCUACUGCCUUGCUGUUUUCCCCUCAGGUUUCUCCCGGUUGAAGGUUUUUUACAUUUUGGGGGUUUUGGGACAGGAUGUUGCAUGUUUACAGAUUGCAAAACUGAACAAAAUAAACUUACAAUGUGUUGGCCCUCUUGUUUACAGAGCACAACUUGUUGAAUUCAGCCCUUCACCCUUGCAAUCUAUAUUUAGCCCCUGUAGGAUAUUAGAAACAAAUAUACGACCCAGUUCAUAAAAUUAAUAAAAAUGCAUAUAGUGUACACCAGAAUACAGCCAUGAUUCUGAAACUGUAAUCAAUAAAGUAAUGACAAUAUUGUAAAACCACUGUAAUUCUGCAACUAUAAUAGAAUAAUACCAAUGCAGUUAUGAUUGUAUUUGAUGUAAUGUAAUCAACUGGAAUGCAUGCAUUUAAUACUUGAGCAACAAUUGAUAUUGACUAAGGAUCAUUCGAAAUCCGAGUUACAUUGAACUCACCAGAAGACCACUCCCAGGGGUGUGGACACUGACUUUCACACCUUUAAGCAUUGUUAUAAAUACCUGUAGGAACCAUUGUUCUAGAGUUCGCUGGUGGAGGCGACAGACGGGCACUAGGGAUGGUCAAAGGACUGACCUGGGGCCUGUUGGUUGCUGAGACCAGCGGCUCCUCAGCUGAGAUGUUCUUUUUACCCCAACGCCAUCUCUUUUAUUAAAUACAUUUGAUUUUAACCUUUCGAUCAGCGAUGACCUCUGUCCGUCCGGCGUUUCUUCAUUUUUGAACACAACAAUUUGGUGACCCCUGACCUGAUGGAGAGCAAUGGACAGACGGAGGAACAGCUGAUCUGAACAAAGCCCAGCGAUCGAUUUUCUUCACUCGAAUCGAAAAGGUAACCGGCAACCAGAUGUUUUAAAACCGAAAUGCUGUAUAGUUUAUCAUAGAACAUUUAGGUGUGAGUGGA
ensembl:lncRNA